rnacentral:rRNA from 1 species
AAUACAUGCAAGUCGAACGGUCUUUCUAUGGAAGCUUGCUUCCACUGAGAAGAUAGUGGCGAACGGGUGAGUAACACGUGGGUAACCUGCCCAUAAGAGGGGGAGUAACAUCCGGAAACGGGUGCUAAUACCGCAUAGUUUUCUUGAUCGCAUGAUCGGGAAAGGAAAGACGGCCUUUGUGCUGUCGCUUAUGGAUGGACCCGCGGCGUAUUAGUUAGUUGGUGAGGUAAUGGCUCACCAAGACGAUGAUACGUAGCCGACCUGAGAGGGUGAUCGGCCACAAUGGAACUGAGAAACGGUCCAUACUCCUACGGGAGGCAGCAGUAGGGAGUUUUCGGCAAUGGGGGAAACCCUGACCGAGCAACGCCGCGUGAGCGAUGAAAGGUCUUCGGAUUGUAAAGCUCUGUUGUAGGGGACGAAUGGCAAGGAGAGGAAAUGCUCUUUGCUUGACGGUACUCUACCAGAAAGCCACGGCUAACUACGUGCCAGCCGCGGC